rnacentral:rRNA from 1 species
GACGAACGCUGGCGGCGUGCCUAAUACAUGCAAGUAGAACGCUGAAGAGAGGAGCUUGCUCUUCUUGGAUGAGUUGCGAACGGGUGAGUAACGCGUAGGUAACCUGCCUUGUAGCGGGGGAUAACUAUUGGAAACGAUAGCUAAUACCGCAUAACAAUGGAUGACACAUGUCAUUUAUUUGAAAGGGGCAAUUGCUCCACUACAAGAUGGACCUGCGUUGUAUUAGCUAGUAGGUGAGGUAAUGGCUCACCUAGGCGACGAUACAUAGCCGACCUGAGAGGGUGAUCGGCCACACUGGGACUGAGACACGGCCCAGACUCCUACGGGAGGCAGCAGUAGGGAAUCUUCGGCAAUGGGGGCAACCCUGACCGAGCAACGCCGCGUGAGUGAAGAAGGUUUUCAGAUCGUAAAGCUCUGUUGUAAGUCAAGAACGGGUGUGAGAGUGGAAAGUUCACACUGUGACGGUAGCUUACCAGAAAGGGACGGCUAACUACGUG